rnacentral:lncRNA from 1 species
UGUGAUCUUCUAGUUCUCUCAGCAAAAAUGGGUGCUCGUUAAAUUCUUCGUCAGUGACACGAGGAAGCACCAGUCACAGAGGAAAAGAUUCCUAAUUUUCAUAUCACCGAUGUUAACAUUUCUACACAGAAAACUCCAUCAUGGGAGGAAAGGGUUCACAAAGUGACCAGCUGUUUACAGAACUGGCAGUGUCCCUCUCAGAACAGGCCUGUGCGUUUCUUCAAUUCCAUAAGAAUCACAGAAAAUGUGCUAAGUGAUGGUGGUGUGCUGGCAGAGGACAAGCCAAUAGUGCAUCCAAUGUGGGAGAUGCCAUCGCAUGCAUACCA